rnacentral:rRNA from 1 species
UACGGAGGAUGCAAGCGUUAUCCGGAAUGAUUGGGCGUAAAGCGUCCGCAGGUGGCUAUGUAAGUCUGCUGUUAAAGAGUGAGGCUCAACCUCAUAAGAGCAGUGGAAACUACAUGGCUAGAGUGCGUUCGGGGCAGAGGGAAUUCCUGGUGUAGCGGUGAAAUGCGCAGAUAUCAGGAAGAACACCCGUGGCUAAGGCGGCUCUCUAGUACGGUACUGACGCUGAGACGCGAAAGCGUGGGGAGCGAACAGG